rnacentral:rRNA from 1 species
GAUGAACGCUGGCGGCGUGCCUAAUACAUGCAAGUCGAACGAACAGACGAGGAGCUUGCGCCUCGGACGUUAGCGGCGCGCGGGUGAGAAACACGUGUAUACCCCACCUAUAAGAGUGGGAUAACUACGGGAAACCGGAGCUAAUACCGGAGAAUCUAUUGAACCACAUGGUUCAAUAGAGAAAGACGGUGGUUGUGGCACUUAUAGAUGCAUCCGAGCCGCAUUAGCUGGUUGGUAAGGUAACGGCUUACCAAGGGAACGAUGCGUAGGCGACGUGAGAGGGUGAUCGGCCACAUGGGAAGUAAGCCGCGGUCAAGAGUCCUACGGGAGGCACCAGUAGGGAACCUUCCGCAAUGGGGGAAAGCCUGACGGAGCAAGGCGGCGUGAGUGAUGAAGGUCUUGGGUUCGUAAAAACCUGUUAUUGGGGAAGAACAACUGUGUAAGUAAAUAUAGACGUAUUGACGGUAACUGAUCAGAAAGCCACGGCUAACUACGUG